CGAUCGACACCAUCGGCGAUUUCUGGUAUCAGGUUUCCAUGUUCAUCUAUUUUCUGACCCUCUUCGUUGUAUGCCUGACCAGCUCUAUCGCGUAACACAACAGCCACAUCAUGUAUUACUAUCAGCAUCUUGAGUUGCGUUUGAAUUCCUUAAACUCCUGAAACACAAGAAGAAGAACAAAUAAAAACGCGUGAGUAACAAAAGAAAAGAAAAGCUUAGACUAAAUUCUACACCUUAUCUAAUGGUGAAUCGAAGAGAACUUCGGCAACGGCGCCAAAUUUGAUAUUGGUCAAAUUAAUCCUAAGACCACUCUCUCAAAUAAGAGAUCGAUUGUAGUACUUUAUGGUCGACUUCCGCAAAGUUCUCGGAUCACACCAUAGAUUAACAGUUACGAAUAAAGCUAAACAGAAAUAUAAUAAAAGUAAAAGACAAGAAAGCAAUAAAGAGAUUGCUUGUAGAUUCAGAUGAUGAAGAUGUCGGGUUUAGGAAAAUUCUCAGGAAAUAUCAUAAUAGUAGAUCUAGCAGUAAAUUAGGAUUAUUAUUGAACCAUUCUAGAACACAAAUAACUAAUAUAAAGUAACCGGUGGCAUUCCGCGAAACUCACUAUGCUUAAUAGUAUUGAUCCCAGCUCUCUUGUAAAUCCCUAGAACUAAGCAAGCAUUAUAAUCA
rnacentral:sRNA from 1 species